rnacentral:rRNA from 1 species
GACGGGGGGGGCAAGUGUUCUUCGGAAUGACUGGGCGUAAAGGGCACGUAGGCGUGAAUCGGGUUGAAAGUGAAAGUCGCCAAAAAAGUGGCGGAAUGCUCUCGAAACCAAUUCACUUGAGUGAGACAGAGGAGAGUGGAAUUUCGUGUGUAGGGGUGAAAUCGUAAAUAUACGAAGGAACGCCAAAAGCGAAGGCAGCUCUCUGGGUCCCUA